rnacentral:rRNA from 1 species
GACGAACGCUGGCGGCGUGCUUAACACAUGCAAGUCGAGCGGAGCGGCGAACGGGUGAGUAACGCGUGAGUAACUGCCCCCCUCUCUGGGAUAACAGUUGGAAACGGCUGCUAAUACCGGCUUGUGGGGGUUGACUCGCGUCCUAUUAGCUUGUUGGUGGGGUAGUGGCUUACCAAGGUGACGACGGGUAGCCGGCCUGAGAGGGCGACCGGCCACAUUGGGCUGAGAUACGGGCCAGACGGCUACGGGAGGCAGCAGUGGGGAAUAUUGCACAGUGAGGGAAAGCCUGAUGCAGCAACGCCGCGUGCGUGAUGACGGCCUGCGGGUUGUAAACCGCGUUCAGCCAUGACGCGGUAGUGGCAGAAGAAGCACCGGCUAACUACGUGCCAGCCGCCGCGGUAAUAC